UACGUAGGGUGCAAGCGUUGUCCGGAAUUAUUGGGCGUAAAGAGCUCGUAGGCGGUUUGUCGAGUCUGCUGUGAAAACCCGAGGCUCAACCUCGGGCCUGCAGUGGGUACGGGCAGACUAGAGUGCGGUAGGGGAGAUUGGAAUUCCUGGUGUAGCGGUGGAAUGCGCAGAUAUCAGGAGGAACACCAAUGGCGAAGGCAGAUCUCUGGGCCGUAACUGACGCUGAGGAGCGAAAGCAUGGGGAGCGAACAGG
rnacentral:rRNA from 1 species